rnacentral:rRNA from 1 species
CCCUUAGAUGUUCUGGGCCGCACGCGUGCUACACUGAUGCAUUCAACGAGUCCAAAACCUGGUCUGAUAGGGCUGGGUAAUCUUUUGAAAGUGCAUCGUGAUUGGGAUAGAUGAUUGCAAUUCUUCAUCUUCAACGAGGAAUGCCUAGUAAACGCAAGUCAUCAGCUUGCAUUGAUUACGUCCCUGCCCUUUGUACACACCGCCCGUCGCUCCUACCGAUUGAAUGAUCCGAUGAAUACCAUGGAUUGAGAGUACGAAUAGGUUCGCUUAUUUCUGCUGCUCGAGAAGUGGAGUAAAUCUUAUCAUUUAGAGGAAGGAGAAGUCGUAACA